AAAGGAGUAAUGAAAGAAAUGAAAGUCGACAAGCUGUUUACUAAAACUUAAAAGUGAAUAUACAUCAAGAUUAAGCUCCUGUAAGGAAUCGAAUAGGACGUCGAAAAGGACGAAACAGAAAGCUGAGAAUUUGCAAGAAUUAUAGAUAGGAUGGCUGAAAAAGUCAACUAUUACAUGAUUACACACAAGGGCAUUUCCUUAUCAACCAUAUACUGACACUUCCCAUCGCGUGAACCCUUACCAGACUACACUUGUUUAAAGGAAGAAAUGAGCAAAGGAUCCACCAUGGAUCGGCAUGAAUGGAUGUUCCCUUUCUCAGUGGUCUAAGGAAACAAGACUGAAAGCAGGCUUGCAGAAAUAACAGCAGAUCAAAAUCUGGUGUGGCACGAUGACAAGUAAAGGUAAAAGCAAAGAAGUCAAGAACCGUCCAUAAUCCGUCAAGUGCAGCACAACAAUGAAAAUGCAGACUGUGUUCUUUAAAAGCAAAACACUGAUUUAUUUCUCGUCC